UACCAGCACCCCGAGUGGUCGGGACGAUUAUUGGGCCUAAAGCAUCCGUAGCCGGCCUUACAAGUCCUCCGUUAAAUCCAGCUGCUUAACAGAUGGGCUGCGGAGGAUACUAUAAGACUAGGAGGCAGGAGAGGCAAGCGGUACUCAGUGGGUAGGGGUAAAAUCCGUUGAUCCAUUGAAGACCACCAGUGACGAAGGCGGCUUGCCAGAAUGCGCUCGACGGUGAGGGAUGAAAGCUGGGGGAGCAAACCGG
rnacentral:rRNA from 1 species